GUUGUAGCACCUACAGUGUCAGGAAUCUUCACUUGUUAUUUCCAAGUAUGGUCCUCCAACUUCCAAGGAUCUCGAAAUGAGGGAUGGACGAGUCAAUUUCACAUCCACUCACACAGAAGCAAGGUCAAGGGGCUGGUCAGCCACGGACACUGUCUUAGAGACCCAACGUCUACAGUGCAAGUGUGUGCAGAGAUGAAUCCGCCAGGAUAUCCCAGAGUGAAGGACAGAAGCCUCACCUGAGCCUCUGAGCCUGCGCAGGUGUUGAAGUCUUCUCCCUGGAGAGAUAAGUGGAUUGCAAUUUGAAAGAUGCCUCAUAUGUUCCUCUGUUGUAGAAUAUGGUGAUACCUGUCACA